rnacentral:ncRNA from 2 species
CACCGCCCGUCACACUAUAGGAGCUGGCCAUGUUUGAAGUCAUUACCCUUAUUCGUAAGGAGGGGAAUGCCUAAGGCUAGGCUUGCGACUGGAGUGAAGUCGUAACAAGGUAGCCGUACUGGAAGGUGCGGCUG